CACAGCGAAAGGUGCUUGCACCUUUCAAGUGAGUGGCGAACGGGUGAGUAACACGUGGACAACCUGCCUCAAGGCUGGGGAUAACAUUUGGAAACAGAUGCUAAUACCGAAUAAAACUCAGUGUCGCAUGACACAAAGUUAAAAGGCGCUUUGGCGUCACCUAGAGAUGGAUCCGCGGUGCAUUAGUUAGUUGGUGGGGUAAAGGCCUACCAAGACAAUGAUGCAUAGCCGAGUUGAGAGACUGAUCGGCCACAUUGGGACUGAGACACGGCCCAAACUCCUACGGGAGGCUGCAGUAGGGAAUCUUCCACAAUGGGCGAAAGCCUGAUGGAGCAACGCCGCGUGUGUGAUGAAGGCUUUCGGGUCGUAAAGCACUGUUGUAUGGGAAGAACAGCUAGAAUAGGGAAUGAUUUUAGUUUGACGGUACCAUACCAGAAAGGGACGGCUAAAUACGUGCCAGCAGCCGCGGUAAUACGUAUGUCCCGAGCGUUAUCCGGAUUUAUUGGGCGUAAAGCGAGCGCAGACGGUUGAUUAAGUCUGAUGUGAAAGCCCGGAGCUCAACUCCGGAAUGGCAUUGGAAACUGGUUAACUUGAGUGCAGUAGAGGUAAGUGGAACUCCAUGUGUAGCGGUGGAAUGCGUAGAUAUAUGGAAGAACACCAGUGGCGAAGGCGGCUUACUGGACUGUAACUGACGUUGAGGCUCGAAAGUGUGGGUAGCAAACAGGAUUAGAUACCCUGGUAGUCCACACCGUAAACGAUGAACACUA
rnacentral:rRNA from 1 species